AGGCAGCCGCUGGGUAACCAGAGGAAAGUCCAUGCUCGCACAGGCUGCGAUGCCUGUAGUGUUUGUGCCUGUCCAAUCAAUAAGGCAGGGCACCGGAGACGGUGACGGCGGAGCAGAAGCCUAAAGACGAUGUCCAUGGCGGAUGCCCUUAAGGUGUCACAGUGACGUAGUCCGUAUGGAAACGUACGGAGUGGAACGGGAUAAACCCCGCAAGCGAGAAACCCAAAUUCGGUAGGGGAACCGGCCGGGAUGAAAUGAAAUCGACGCCGGGUGUGAAAGCACAGAUAAAUGGCUGCCAUGCCGCAAGGCAGACAGAACAUGGCUUAU
rnacentral:RNase_P_RNA from 1 species